rnacentral:rRNA from 1 species
AUUGAACGCUGGCGGCAUGCCUUACACAUGCAAGUCGAACGGCAGCACGGGGCAACCUGGUGGCGAGUGGCGAACGGGUGAGUAAUGCAUCGGAACGUGCCAUUGAGUGGGGGAUAACGUAGCGAAAGUUGCGCUAAUACCGCAUAUUCUGUGAGCAGGAAAGCAGGGGACCGCAAGGCCUUGCGCUCUUUGAGCGGCCGAUGUCAGAUUAGCUAGUUGGUGAGGUAACGGCUUACCAAGGCGACGAUCUGUAGCGGGUCUGAGAGGAUGAUCCGCCACACUGGAACUGAGACACGGUCCAGACUCCUACGGAGGCAGCAGUGGGGAAUUUUGGACAAUGGGCGCAAGCCUGAUCCAGCCAUGCCGCGUGAGUGAAGAAGGCCUCGGUU